GAUGCCCUAAGAUCCUCUCCACUCUCAGUAAAUAUCAACCCAAACCCUAUCCCUUCAACCGCCGACCUCUCUUCUCCAGUCAUCCCCGCUGACCUCUCAUCCUCUCCUAGGUCUCCAAUGCCUUCUCUCAUGCCAUGCCUGCCUUCUCUAAGGUCAUCAAGGGACAUGGCCAUGCCGGCUUACAUCUAGAGCUCGUCACUUGUCUCUUCUUGGCUGCUCCAGUGUGAUUUUGAGCAAAAUCAUGCUGUAUAUGUUACGAUCUUUGGGAUUCUAGGGAGGUUCUUUCAUCUCUAUAUGGUUUUCUUUUGAAACCCUAAUUUCUUCCUAUAUCUCCUAGAUCUAUUUAGAUCUAGGAUGAUUUGAGUUUGUUUCUCUAUUGUUUUACGCUGUCCUUGGAACUCUUUACAAGAAUUGUUGAUUUCAAGUGUUUUUCACCUUUUCCUAAAUUUAAGGUUUCGAAAUUUCUUUUUAAUACCUUGUUUAACUGAUCCUUUUUGUUUGAACUUGUAUUUCUUUCAUAUUUUGGUUUAUUUUAUGAUUUUAAUACACCUUUACUUCGUCUAUGUUGAAAACCCUAAUUUUCUAGGUUUCUUCGUUUGAUUUUUAAUUGGCCGGUUCUCGUUUGAAUUUCUGUGAUUAUUUUUCCUCGAAUAUGUUUCUACUGAGUUCCUUGGCCUAACUUAUAUGAGCUCUAUAUGCUUGUUCUCCUCUUGAGUGUUCAAGACUAGCCUCUUUGCUUGUCGUAUCUAGUUAAUCUUAUCUUGCUCUAUUUAUAUGCUAAACACUUACUCGUGACUUUCUAUUUGAUUGAUUCUUGAUUCCCUAUUUUUGGAAGACCUUCCUUUAAACCUUUGAUUCCUACCCUUUCUAUUUCAAAAUUUACUGAUUAUCCUACCUUGUCUGCAUUAGUACUUUAUUCUUAUUAUCUAUCUCCUUAAUUAGAGUUCUCUAAACUUAGCCCUAACUGUUUACCCUAUACUUUCUAAUAUUGAAAUCUUUCCUCAUUGGGCGUACACUGAUUUCUUUCCUUAUUUGUUACUUGUUCUUACCGUAUGAAUUGAUUCCCUUAACUUAAGGGAGUACUUGUGUUUAUUUUGCUCUAAUUGGUUCUGAGUUCCAUAAUUACUAUACUAUUGUGAUACUUACCUUAUUUUACCUACUUUAGAACUUCUAUAUAUACCUAAUCUCUCAUUAACACAAACACACGAACACAUUGGUUCAAAAACUCUCUCUUUCACACUAUAAGUUUUCUGCUCUCUUUUGUGUUACUUACUACUGUCUAAAGUCAGCUAGCUGUAAGCCAAGGCUAACUACUGGGUUCUCUUUCACUUUCUGUUUACUAUCCCUUUACUGGUGUGUUCUGAUUUUAAUUCAAGUCCCAAGACAAUAUGCUUCUACUAUUACUUCAAUUUGUCAUGUUUUAAUAAGCUUCUAUCUAUGGUUUUGUUGUUCAACUUACAAUUAACAUGUCUACUUCACUGUCUACUUCACUGUCUUCUUUGUUGCAUGCUAUAUACCCCCUUAGGAUCCCCUUCUAGUGUGCCCCAAUGUGACUAUGUUUCUCUGAUCCCUGGCAUGGACCUUCUUGUAUGAAGUAAUUGGCUAUCAUAAUUCUAUUGAUUCUAUAUAACUCUAAAGUUCAUGCUAUACUUUAAAAGCCUUUACCCCUUUUUAGGCUCCUCAUGCAUCUGCACUUACUAUGUAGCCUAUGCUUACCCAAAUCCCCAUAACCCAUGUUGGCCCAAGUUUCAGUUGGAGUUUUGUAGAUUGAAAAAUGAACAUAUGGAAGGACCGAGU
rnacentral:lncRNA from 1 species